CACAAGUCACGACACAAACAUUCAGCCUUGCCUGAACUAAAAAGCGUCUUACUUUUAACUUUUAAAAUUUCAAUCAUCUGUGAAGACGUCGUUUCGAGUGUGUGCAAACAUUAGCCUUGUUUCAACCAGAGACCUGCACAAAAAGAUGGAUUUUCCGAAAAAAAAAAAAUACUUUUAAGGGUGAGCUCGGUGACUACUAUAUAUGGCAAUGUAGGAGACGAUGAAGCGGUUUUGUCAAGCUUGGACAUGGAUUCUGUGCGCUCCUUCGACGCAGAGGGAUUACAGGACGAGCCAGGCGUGAAUUAAGGAAGUUGGAGUGCACAGCUGCCUAAGUGAAACGUGUCGGACAAAACCUUUCGAGGAGCACUCCUUGUGUUUGUGUUCAAACAACAGCCAAAAAAAAGAUCUUCUGAAAACGCUUAGUGCUUAUUCAUGAGCACUAAUGUUGGGACGAAGGAUGGGGAUGAAAGGCGGAACAAAAGCUGUCAAAGCAGAGAAAGGAACCGAGAAGUGAGGAUAUCUGUCAUGGAUGCAAAGGACAAUGGGUUACUUUGUCCCCCGGUUUCAUUAUGGGCUUGUGUUUGAUUGGAAACAGGCGACUAAUCACAUGAGCAACCAUCUCUCCACAACUCUGCAAGCAUUGUCGUCUCCUGGAGGGAAUCAGCAUGAAGAUUCAUUUUUGGUCAGCAGAUGUAAAGUCCUUCCAUGUGAGCCAGCAAAGUGAUUGGGAUAUGCUUUACCAAGAACCAAGACACUGUGAUUUUCUUCUUUAUCAAAACCAUUCCAUUCAUCAUUGCAUGGUUCUAGGCAGUAGCAAUGAAAUGGUGGUCUUUUGGUUGGUACCCAACACAGUCGUCCCUCUCUACAUCGUAAGGAUGUCCCAAUAUUUUUUAUUUCGAUACUUUGAUGCUUUUCAAAAUAAAGAGGGCCACAAAACAUGUCAUUACUGGCUUUAUUUUAUCAUUUUUUAAGACCUGCUCAGUGGCCUUGUGGUUAGAGUGUCCGCCCUGAGAUCAGUAGGUCAUGAGUCAAACCGCAGUUGAGUCACACCAAAGACUAUGACAAUUAGGGCUGUGGGAAAAUAUUGAUUCGAAUAUGAAUUGAAUACAAUGUGCGAUUCAGAAUUGAAUCUCAUUUUUUUUUAAUUAUUAUUAUUUUUUUAAUCAAUCCAACAAACCACUACACAGCAAUACCAUAACAAUGCAAUCCAAUUCCAAAACCAAACCUGACCCAGCAACACUCAGAACAGCAAUAAACAGAGCAAUUGAGAGGAGACACAAACACGACUCAGAACAAACCAAAAGUAGUGAAACAAAAAUGAAUAUUAUCGACAACAGUAUCAAUAUUAGUUAUAAUUUCAGCAUAGCAGUGAUUAAAAAUCCCUUAUUGACAUUAUCAUUAGACAUUUAUAAAAAUAAAAAAAGAACAAUAGUGUCACAGUGGCUUACACUUGCAUCGCAUCUCAUGACCUUGACAACACACUUUGUCCAAUAUUUUCACAAAGAUAACAUAAGUCAUAUUUUGGCUUCGUUUAUAGUUAAAACAAAUUUGCAUUAUUGCAAUCAGUUGAUAAAACAUUAACCUUUACAAUUAUAAAAGCUUUUUUUUUUUAAAUCAACUACUUUGCUUGCAUGUCACCAGACUGGGGUAGAUCCUGCUGAGAUCCUAUGUAUUUAAGGAAUACAGAAUCGUUUUGAAUCGGAAAAAUAUGGUUUUUGAAUCGCGAAUCGAAUCGAAUUGAAUCGAAUUGAAUCGAUAUAUUAUCGAAUCGUGACCCUAAGAAUCGAUAUUGAAUCGAAUCGUGGGACACCCAAAGAUUCACAGCCCUAAUAACAAUGAUUGGUACAUUAACUUUACCUUAAAAAUGGGACCCAUUACUUCCCUGCUUGGCACUCAGCAUCAAGGGUUCAAAUUGGGGCUUAAAUCACCAAAAUGAAUCCUGAGCGCGGCCAUCUCUGCUGCUCACUGCUCCCCUCACCUCCCAGGGGGUGAACAUGGGGAUGGGUCCAAUGCAGAGGGUAAUUUCACCACACCCAGUGUGAUGUGUGACUAUCAGUGCUACCUUAAUUUUUACAGAAAAUCUUAUGAUACAUUAAACAUACCUUUCCUAUUACAAUCCAUCCAUCCAUUUUCUACCACUUAUUCCCUUUUGGGGUUGCGGGGGGGCGCUGGUGCCUAUCUCAGCUACAAUCGGGCGGAAGACGGUGUACACCCUGGACAAGUCGCCACCUCAUCGCAGGGCCAACACAGAUAGACAGACAACACUCACACUCACAUUCACACAUUAGGGCCAAUUUAGUGUUGCCAAUCAACCUAUCCCCAGGUGCAUGUCUUUGGAAGUGGGAGGAAGCCGGAGAACCCGGAGGGAACCCACACAUUCACGGGGAGAACAUGCAAACUCCAUACAGAAAGAUCCCGAGCCUGGGAUUGAACCCAGGACUGCAGAACCUUCGCAUUGUGAGGCAGACGCACUAACCCCUCUGCCACCGCGAAGCCCCUUCUUAUUGCAAUCA